UGACUAAGCCAUGCAAGUCGAGAGGGUUCGGCCCUCGGCGUACUACUCAGUAACACGUGGAUAACCUGCCCUAAGGAAGGGGAUAACCUCGGGAAACUGAGGAUAAUACCCUAUAGGUUACAGACGCUGGAAUGCCCUGUAACCGAAAGCUCCGGCGCCUUAGGAUGGAUCUGCGGCCGAUUAGGUUGUUGUUGGGGUAACGGCCCAACAAGCCGAUAAUCGGUACGGGUUGUGGGAGCAAGAGCCCGGAGUUGGAUUCUGAGACACGAAUCCAGGCCCUACGGGGCGCAGCAGGCGCGAAAACUUUACAAUGCGGGAAACCGUGAUAAGGGAACCUCGAGUGCCUGUAUAUGCAGGCUGUCCAGGUGUCUAAAAAACACCUGAAGAAAGGGCCGGGCAAGACCGGUGCCAGCCGCCGCGGUAAUACCGGCGGCUCGAGUGGUGGCCACUUUUAUUGGGCUUAAAGCGUUCGUAGCUGGGUUGUUAAGUCUCUUGGGAAAUCUGACGGCUCAACCGUCAGGCGUCCAAGGGAUACUGGCAAUCUUGGAACCGGGAGAGGUGAGGGGUACUUCGGGGGUAGGAGUGAAAUCCUGUAAUCCUCGAGGGACCACCUGUGGCGAAGGCGCCUCACCAGAACGGCUUCGACAGUGAGGGACGAAAGCUGGGGGAGCAAACCGGAUUAGAUACCCGGGUAGUCCCAGCCCUAAACGAUGCGCGUUAGGUGUAUCGGUGACCACGAGUCACCGAGGUGCCGAAGGGAAACCGUGAAACGUGCCGCCUGGGAAGUACGGUCGCAAGGCUGAAACUUAAAGGAAUUGGCGGGGGAGCA
rnacentral:rRNA from 1 species